rnacentral:rRNA from 1 species
GACGGGUGAGUAAUGCUUAGGAAUCAGCCCAGUAGUGGGGGACAACAGUCGGAAACGGCUGCUAAUACCGCAUACGCCCUACGGGGGAAAGCGGGGGAUCUUCGGACCUUGCGCUAUUGGAUGAGCCUAAGUCGGAUUAGCUAGUUGGUGGGGUAAAGGCCUACCAAGGCGACGAUCCGUAGCUGGUCUGAGAGGAUGAUCAGCCACAUCGGGACUGAGACACGGACCGAACUCCUACGGGAGGCAGCAGUGGGGAAUAUUGGACAAUGGGGGCAACCCUGAUCCAGCCAUGCCGCGUGUGUGAAGAAGGCUUUCGGGUUGUAAAGCACUUUCAGCGAGGAGGAAGGCCUUAAAGUUAAUACCUUUAAGGAUAGACGUUACUCGCAGAAGAAGCACCGGCUAACUCCGUGCCAGCAGCCGCGGUAAUACGGAGGGUGCAAGCGUUAAUCGGAAUUACUGGGCGUAAAGCGCGCGUAGGUGGUUUGGUAAGCGAGAUGUGAAAGCCCCGGGCUUAACCUGGGAACGGCAUUUCGAACUGUCAGAUAGAGUGUGGUAGAGGUAGUGGAAUUUCCUGUGUAGCGGUGAAAUGCGUAGAUAU